GUGUCAGCCGCCGCGGUAAGACGGAGGGUGCUAGCGUUGUUCGGAAUCACUGGGCGUAAAGGGCGCGCAGGCGGCCCCUCGCGUCGGACGUGAAAGCCCGGGGCUCAACCCCGGAACGGCGUCCGAUACGGGGGGGCUCGAGGCCGGGAGAGGGGGGUGGAAUACCCAGUGUAGAGGUGAAAUUCGUAGAUAUUGGGUGGAACACCGGUGGCGAAAGCGGCCCCCUGGCCCGGUCCUGACGCUGAGGCGCGAAAGCGUGGGGAGCAAACAGGAUUAGAUACCCCUGUAGUCC
rnacentral:rRNA from 1 species